GAUGAAGAACGCAGCGAAAUGCGAUAAGUAAUGUGAAUUGCAGAAUUCAGUGAAUCAUCGAGUCUUUGAACGCACAUUGCGCCCCCUGGUAUUCCGGGGGGCAUGCCUGUCCGAGCGUCAUUGCUGCCCUCAAGCACGGCUUGUGUGUUGGGCCCCCGUCCCCGGUUUCCCCCGGGGACGGGCCCGAAAGGCAGCGGCGGCACCGCGUCCGGUCCUCGAGCGUAUGGGGCUUUGUCACCCGCUCUGUAGGCCCGGCCGGCGCCAGCCGACACCCAACUUUAUUUCUAAGGUUGACCUCGGAUCAGAUAGGGAUACCCGCUGAACUUAAGCAUAUCAAUAAGCGGAGGA
rnacentral:misc_RNA from 1 species